GCAGUUGUCCCACCUGAUUCCAUCCCGAACUCAGAAGUGAAAAGCUGUAACGUCGAUGGUAGUGUGGGGAUUCCCCAUGUGAGAGUAGAGCAUCGUCGGGG
rnacentral:rRNA from 1 species